rnacentral:rRNA from 1 species
AACGAACGCUGGCGGCAGGCCUAACACAUGCAAGUCGAACGCUCGUAGCAAUACGGGAGUGGCGCACGGGUGAGUAACGCGUGGGCACCUGCCCGGUGGUUUGGGAUAACCGUGGGAAACUGCGGCUAAUACCGGAUACGCCCCUCGGGGGAAAGAUUUAUCGCCAUCGGAUGGGCCCGCGUAGGAUUAGCUAGUUGGUGAGGUAACGGCUCACCAAGGCGACGAUCCUUAGCUGGUCUGAGAGGAUGAUCAGCCACACUGGGACUGAGACACGGCCCAGACUCCUACGGGAGGCAGCAGUGGGGAAUAUUGGACAAUGGGGGGCAACCCUGAUCCAGCCAUGCCGCGUGAGUGAAGAAGGGCCUUCGGGUUGUAAAGCUCUUUUGGUCGGGGACGAUGAUGACGGUACCCGCACGAAUAAGCCCCGGCUAACUUCGUGCCAGCAGCCGCGGU